UAUAAUUUUCUUCAAAUUAAAUCCACUUUUUCCAUACACCAAAAAAUUCCAAAAUUCUAAAAAAAAUAUUCACAAAAGAUUAAGUUUCAACGAAUCCGCUUUCUCUCUUAAAUUUCAUUUGCGACAACUUGACUGUCUUAUCCACUCAAGUUACCGAAGAAUGAUCAAGAACAUUCAAAUGGCGAUAUAUCGAAACCGAUAUUGAGACGAGUAAAACGAGUAAAAGUUUCCCCGAGAUUCGGCUCGAUGACAGUGACUCAUGUCCAAUCGUGCAGUUGACGUAUCUAGUCCCUUUUGUUAUAAAAAAAGAAUGGACACAGCGCGCAGAGGAAAGAUUGCUACAUCUUUCUCGGUUGGUGCCAAUGUUGCGUUGGUAUAUAACCUCGUAGGUGUAGCCUGCCGGGUAUAUAUCUGGUUUCCAUUCCCGUCAAGGCACAAUGAUAAAGCAUAUUAACGCAACACACUGUACGGUGCAAUGGACACGACCGAAUAACAAUGAACGAUAUUUCCUCUGGCUUUUAGAUAUCCCGAUCGAAAUACCUUUCUCCUAUCUCUCUUUCUCUCUCACUUCCUAUUCGAAUAUCGUGGCUGGAUGUAGGAACACGGAACGUAAAUAAACGGUAGCUGGAUUCGAAACGUUUUUAUCAUGCGUGAAAAAAGUAGAUUUUUUGUUUACCUUGCGAGGUGGAAGGUAUGCUUUGCGGUAAAUGGAAGAAAAUGAAGACGUUUGCGAAUAAACGAUGGUGAAAUAAAGUGUACAUCCUUUUGCCUAAACAGAAUAGAGACAGAGUUGCAGAAAUGAAAAUAAAAAUCCAAAAAGAAAAAAAAAAAUAGAAGAAGGAGCAUCAAUUUGAA
rnacentral:lncRNA from 1 species